rnacentral:rRNA from 1 species
AGUGAACGCUGGCGGCAGGCCUAAUACAUGCAAGUCGAACGGCAGCACAGCAGAGCUUGCUCUGUGGGUGGCGAGUGGCGGACGGGUGAGGAAUACGUGGGAAUCUGCCCAGUCGUGGGGAUAACGUAGGGAAACUUACGCUAAUACCGCAUGCGCCCUUCGGGGGAAAGCCGGGGACCUUCGGGCCUGGCGCGAUUGGAUGAGCCCACGUCGGAUUAGCUAGUUGGCGGGGUAAAGGCCCACCAAGGCGACGAUCCCGUAGCUGGUCUGAGAGGAUGAUCAGCCACACUGGAACUGAGACACGGUCCAGACUCCUACGGGAGCAGCAGUAGGGAAUAUUGGACAAUGGGCGCAAGCCUGAUCCAGCCAUGCCGCGUGAGUGAAGAAGG